AAACUAGACAAAAAUAAUUCGUACAAUUUUGUGUUUUUACAGUGUGAGACCUUUAAUAAGAUCAACUUUUCCCCCAUCAGCUUCUACCACAAGCGCAGCAAUUACAUCAAGAAGAAGAACAACAGCAACAGCAACAACAGCAGCAACUCAGAGUAAGAGUUUCUCUCCUUCUCCAUCUGAAACCAUCAAACUAUCUGAGAAACCAGCUGCAGCUUCAGGUCUGCAGCUUUAUGUGGUUUUGUCUUUGGUUGUCAAAAUCAUCUUGUUAUCAACGUCUUUGGUUAUUUUCUGCAUGAAGAGGAGGGCCAUGAACAGCAAAGAGUUUUAUUAAUCCAGAACAAGUGUCUGUCUGAAGCUUCAUUGAACAUAUUGGAAGAAUCAGCAGAGCAGUCAGAUCCCUAAACAGGAAGGAGUAAAAAUAAAGAUUCAGCAACAAAUUUACAGAAAUAGGAAAGUUAUUUAUAAACAUUAAACUGUGUUCCUCUUUCAGCUGCAUCAUUUCUAGAGAACAAAAUGUUUCCAACAUGCUCUGAUCAUCAGUCAGCUGUGGUUUUCU